CCUGACCGUUGCCGACUUCUUCUUGUAGAGUCUGAAACUGGAGCUAUAUGUUUUAGCUGUAACCCCUGUUUAAAUAUAUCAUUUCUUAAUGAAAGUACAGGCUAAUGAGAAAGUUAAGUUAUAUUCUAGGGAUGUUACAAAUUAAUCAGAACAGUAGAUCUACACCACAAGUUGGCCAAAAAUCUAGCUGAGCACCUGAACAUGGUCUAAGCCAACACCAGCUUGCACUAGAAAAUAAAACUCAAUCUUCUGGAGACAAAGCUCUAGUUCAUUACCCAAUCCUAAGACCUAUCGCUGUAUCUUCCUCUCUCAUCUCCAGCUUCAGAGAAACAUGCCAUGAAGUUGCAAGCUGUCAGCAAACUUUUACCUUCACUUUUACCUUGUGCUGAGCAUUUAAUUCAAAUGCCAGUGGAAGCUUUUAAUCAACAACAGCACUGAUGUUGUAUGUAGAAAAACUUUUAUUUUUAAUAACACAUAAAGAGAGGACUGAGAGCAAAGCCAUUGAUUCCCUACAACAGAACAGUAUGCCUGUUUUACAAGUGUAUAAUUUCUGCUUGGUAAAAAUUUGAGGUGAGGGAAUACAAGCAGACAAGUCCCAGGUAACCAGAAGGGAGAACUACACACAAAAGACAGGUCUAAUAUUCAGAAUACCUGCAGACAUUAACAAUGUAAGCCUGUCACUAAUCAUAGUUUGUAAUGAACAGUGGCAAUGGGGUUCUUGGAAAUUGGACGGACUCACAUAGCUUGUUAUUUUAAAUAAAUACCAUAAUCGGUAUGAAAUCCCAGCAAAUAAAAUAUGGAAAACAAUAUGAACUACCAGUCUUUUAUGGGACAGAAAGAAUUAUCCAUAGCUAUCCAAAGGCUAGUUUGGCUUUCAUAUACUCAUAUUUGAACUUUACAUCAUCUUGCCUCCAACUCUUUGCAAACACAGGUUUUGUUAGUAGUGUUUAAACUAACUGCAGGUAUUCUAGGUUUAGAUUGUGUGGGAUGGAAAGAAAUACUAGCCUUGUACUUAAAAGGAGAGAGAAAAAGUAGAUUUAUAUUGAUACCAGGAGAACAAGGUGAGGAAGCAUUCAUAAGCAAUGGCAUUAUGAAAUUCUUAAUAUCAAAUUCUAGAGAGGAGAACUAUGGAUUCUUACAACAGACAGACCCAGCCCUGAUCCUGCAAGGAAAAUAUGGUUGAUCUCACCUGCAGGAGAAGGCUGAGAAGGCUCUGCAGGAGCUACCCCCACACACAGGCCAAUAUCCUACAGCUGUAUGCUGUGUACAGAGCCAGAGUAUUCCAAGGUGUACCUGGAGACUCCUGUAUUAUGGCAGUGUCCUUACUGCUUGUCCUGGCAUCACACCUAAUGCCCUGCAGGAGAAGCAGGGAACAUUGGGAAGCCUGGCUGCUGCCACUCACCCCCUCUGACAGGUCACCACCAUUCUUUGUUCACUUUCCCCACUUACAAAAUUAGAAUUAUGAUUUCUCCUUUGAACACUUUCAGCCCCUUUGAUGGCAGUUGCUACAAUUACAUUAUUAUUUCAGGAUAUUGGAUAAGCCUCACUGCUCUGUGGUGGAGUGUGCAGGUGAGUAAUUUGUCCAUUUUAUAGACAAACUAAGAUAUCAAGAUGCUAAUACAGUAAAUUGGCAUGAGAAUGGAAAAAAAUGGAUGAUUAAUUUUCAAUUUCCUCCCUUAGCAGCUACCAAAUGCUCAUGGGAGUGCAGAGGGCCCAUCCUAAGAGCUGCCUUAAAUUUUUUAAAUGUAGUCACUCAUUUUGAAGAAAAUUACAAUACUUCUCCACUAAACACUGUGUGCAUUUUCAACUUCUAAAACUGACAUCUGCUCCAGUGCUUCACAGAGGCCUGCCAACAGCUGGCAGUGAGCUGGCUGCUACCUCUGCCAAAGAGGAUUAAUGCCGAAUAAUGCUGACUGGAGGUAGAAGCCCUAAUUCUAUUUCUAGCUGCACUAGUACAAAGCCAGAGCAAGUAAUGUUGUCUACAAAAGAUGGGUGCAAUGGUGUAAAAGGAUUGCAGUUGGAGAGUAUCAGGCUCAGAGGAAUUUCUGGUGUAUUUUUUUCAAGGACAUACGUGUUCAGAAAUUAAAGGAAAUGUUAAAUUUUAUAUAAAUAUUUCCAGUAAUCUUAGCAGGCAUGAAUAAGUGUAAAUAGGACACAUUUGGAUUUGUUUAAAAGUUACCCAAAAACGUUAUUUGCAAUCUGUAAGGUAAAAUGCCCUUAAGUGUUAUGGGUAGCAUGUGAUUUUGUUAGCUGCAAAACAGCCAAAAUAUAUUGCCAUCCAAAAUCCCUUUUUUCCGCCCUCUAACAAAAGCUGUUCUAGCCCCUUAUACUGGAAUAGUUGCAGUAGGAAAGGCUCUCUAAGGGGUUUAUUUGGAUUUUGUGGGUUCUUUUUGUUUGUUUUUACAGAAGAUGUUUCCCAGUCUACUGUGUAUCAUUUGCCUUUAGGCAACCAAAACUCAGCCGCACAAACCCUUCCAAAGGGUGAGGAGGACAGCAGGACACAGGCAGGCACGGCACUCCCAGGGGUCUGAGUGGGUCACCCCAGCUCCCCUGUCAUGUUCAGACCACAGAGCAUUGUCCUGCCCCAUAUAAGUGUCUCUGUUACACAGAGGAGCUGUACCAGGAGCAGGCAUGGGGCUGGAACGACCAGUCCAGCAGCUGAUGAGGUCAGCAUUUACAAUCAUCUGGACCACACUAUCCCACAGCACCUUUCUGGAGAAUUUUAAGGACAACACUGCUUUCUGAACUUACUGAGACUUAAUUGUCUUUCCCUGAAUUGCUCCAAAUUGAGAAUUUGUCUUCAGCAUACCCUGGACAGUUGGGAGAAGUUGUACACCUGGCCAAGUGUUUCUCUGACCUUCAUCCUUCCCUAGGGCAGGACGAGGUACCCAUAGCAAUGCUGACUCUGUGGGUGAGACUGGGACUGCUUGUAUGGCCACCAGGUUAGGAAUUCAGGCUGUUUGUCAGACACACAACAGGGGAGAAACUGCCUAUGGGCUGAGAUUGCAGACAGGGACUGCAGUUUCAUCCUGUCUGUGCUCUCUGCUGAGGAGGCGGCCAUCCUUUGGUAAGCCAGUUUUUGGGACAAAGCAGAACCAGCUGAGUGUCAGUCUGGACCUGGAGAGGCAGACUGACUUGCUUGUAGACAAGCAAAUGGUUUGGUGGUACUUCUCUGGGACCCUUCCCUACUGGUAAACUAAACCUGAACACUUUAUUUUUUCAGUCUCUUCUCACUGGUCAGUGGUGGGCUCAAGGAGAGGGCAGGUUCUGUGACAGAACAGGACAGGCUCCCUGACACUGAAUUUCAUCUGAACCUGGCAGCACAGCCUCACAGACCUGCCACAAACAUGCUGAUCCCAGCACCCUGAGCAGCUACCACGAGGACAGUGUGUGGGAUGUGAAACUUUGUCUUCCCCACCCCAAAUAUUUUCAGUAUCAGGAAAUUAAUAAAAAUGAGUACAAUAAAGGAAUACACAAAGGACUACAAAUAUCCCCUUUGUUGUAUCUGAUUUGGACCUGGAGAGUUUCCCAGCUUCAGUCUAGCCACUUGAUAAUCUGAAGUGGGGAAUGCUACAUAAAUUACUCAUUAUUCCCACCAGAUGAGCUGUCAAAGGCUGCGGAAGCCAGUUCAUGUUCACCUUGCUUCUCUCUGUUUUCUCUCUGCUGUAACUUUACACUCUAUUAAGCUCUGUUGUUAAAUACCUCUGUCUCAAGACGCUAAGAGACAAAGAAAGAAGGAAAGAAAUAAAGAAACCCUCCAUGAGCAAUUUUACUUCUGAAGAAAUCCAGAAGGACACAAUAAAAGCCAAAGCAAUUGUUCUUCCUCCAUGAGCUCAUCAUUACACCCCACAGCUGUCAAACAGCCCUCACAGCCUGCUGCCUGCCUGGGGUUACCACCUGUACAGACACAGGUAUCCAGCCCAGAGACUGCAGGAAAACUCCCUAGACUAAACUCCCUAGACUAAACUCCCCUCUUGCCAGAGGUGAUCCCUGUGAAGAGUAAGGGCAGCUCUGGGGCAGAGUUUGUGCUUUUCUUGAGUUGCAGCUACUUGUAUUUAUUUUCAAAGAAAAUUUAUUUCAAAGAAAAUCACAAAUGUCAGAUAUUGCAUAAAUCCUGAGUCCCCCUGCUUCGCUGCAGCUUCUGCUCCAGCCUCCAGGCCACUCAGACCGCAACUUGGCACCACAAUUAAAGUAACACCUCAUUUUGAUUUUUCUAAAUUAAUCAUUAUUUUUAGAUGUUUCCAACCAAUUGCCAGAACUGUAUUUCUGCCUGACCCUCAUCCCUAAGGUUUCCUGUUUGUUGUUGCUUCCAUUUUGCAGACAGCAUAAGUGGCAGAGUGCUAUUGCUCUUGAAAAGGAUGUUUUUACAUAUGGCUCUGCCCCAAACACCUGGAAGUACUUGCAGCCCUGGAAAGAAAGCCCAAACACUGGGUGGCCUGGGAAAGCCAAAUGUCAUUUCAAGUUUUGCAAAUGCUUCCUGUCAUGGCUCUUGGACCAGGCCAAAGCCCUGGACUGAGCCAUCCCUAGGGUUAGGAAAGACAAAAUUCAAACCCAGGAUGAAACCUGGAACCUCAAGUCCCUCUUGCAACAUCCUGAUGUUUCUGGCACACCGCUGGCUGGCACACCUUGGCACAAGCUGCCGCUGUUUUUCUGUGCUGCACAACAUCAGGAAACACUUUCAAUUUGUCUGCAAGUGCAGCACAGUGCAUUACUGUCACAUGCCAUAUGUCCCAGGCCCUGCAGCGAAGGGCGUUCAGCACAGUCAGCAAGCACAGCAGCCCCCUCCAGCUGGGAGACAGCCAGAAUCCCAGGGCUCAAUGAGAAGCCUGAAGGAAAGGGGCUCAACCCAGUACCCUCAGGGCAGCAGCAGUAACAUCAAUCCCAGGAGAGAACCCUGCAUCUCCCUGUCUCACCAGCACAGUUGUUACAAAAGCACCGAGGGAUGGCUGGAGCUGCACUGCUCUCUUUUUCUCAGGACAGACGUGGCAGACCAGUGUGGACACCGGUUUGUUUUGACUCCACUGUGAGCCGGUUGGAUGCACGAUAGCUCCAGACUAUGCAGGAUCAAAGAAAAACAGGGCUGGAAAGGCCCCACGGGGGUCAUUUACUCUAGUCCCUCAUCCCCAAGGCAGGAUCAAUUUUCCCUCCCUCAUUCUUGGCAGAAUGAAUAGUAGAGAAGAAGAAAGAAAUCAAACUUCAGGGAACUGAGGUAAACUAAGUAUAACUACAAAAGUGUAGUCUGAACAGCAAUAAGGCUGAAUGCACUUAUUCUAGAAAACGGUGCCACAAAAACAGCGUCAGGAACUUGACUAUUCUUUUCUAAAAUAAAUAAACAAAUCUGGAAGCUUUAAAAUCCAGGCUAGGGGUUGAGAAUUAUGUCGUAAUCCUUAGUCACCUACAUAGUCAACCAAUGUGGAAACACAUCAUAUCACAUCCUAAUAAGCACUAUGCAAAUAUUUUUGUAAUCUAGUGCUAAUGAUACCAAAUAUUAUUAAUAUGUCAUUUGGCAUACUAUUGUAAAAAUUACAUUUAACUAUGUAUUAACUGGAGUUGUAGCAAAUGAUGCAUUUAGCUAAUUGUAUGCAAUUAAAUGAGAAUUAAAACCAGGAUGUUUCAUAAUCUUCUUUGCUUUUCACUAAAAAUCUAAGCAGGGAAUUCAACAAAUGAAAGCUGCUGGAAAAUCACGUGCAGCAUCAAGCACUGGAAGAUUAAUAUAAUACAAGGCAUCAUAUGUUGUUCAUCUAAGUUUAUUAAAAACAACACCAAGUCUAAAUCUUUGCACAUUUCAUACCGAGCUAAACUUAACUCCUUUUUCCCCCCGAUUUUUCCUUCUGUCUAUUAUAUCCCCCAGGCUUAGAUCUGUUGUAUCAUUAUAUCCAGGGCGGGGGGGGAAAUCAUGUCUAUGAUGAAAUGCCCGUGUCUGGACUGUGGAGGGAAUGCAGAUCCAGCACUGCACUUCAUCUUGAAUAACCUAUAGCAUGCACGUGUGCACCUUGCACUUUUGUCAAUAACUGGUAAUGCACAUAGGCGAAAGUACAAGUGUUACAAACUGCAGCAUGCUUUGUGUUGGGAGUCUACUCUUUGCUGCCCAGUUAACUGGCUACACAGUUUGUGUAAAUAUUUAAUGCCUGGAUGGGGUCAUGCUUUCAGAGAGAAGGACUGGGAACUCACCCUGUGGCUGAUCCUUUUUUGUAGUUAGUUUAUUUCAAGGAUUUUUCUGUGGGUAUUGCUCAAACUUUGUAAACUUUGUGCUGUUCUUGCAGUACUUGUAACUCAGUAACAAAGACUUGUGCAUACAAAUUCGGCCAAUAGGGAUACAAAGGAUCGUUUAUCUGCACGUGUAAACAAAAGAUGAAACCAUUUGCUUCUGCAGCACUAUUACCUUAAUUUUCUCUGUUGUUCCGGGAAAUGUGCAGACCCCUUCAAAUGCAGGGAUGUCCACCUGGCCCUACUUCUGGAAGUUGGUCUUUUCACUCACCUUCUCUCCCUCCCCGGGCAGCCCUGCCCUGCCUCCUGCUGCAUCACAAGUGGUAUCAGUGCCCACUACAAAGGCAGCUGGAUCAGCCCUGCCCACCACACAGCUCAGGCUGCGUAGUUUCAGCGUUUAGCUUUAGCAACACAUCGGGACAUGUUUCCUGAUGACUCCAGCUGCCGUUUCUACUAUUUCACUUAGGCAUCCAUACCAGUGGAAAGCUCUCAUUUUGUAACUUUUGUAUGGACGUCGCUCUCUCCAUCUACAGAGAUGGAAAGAUCUGCAGAGAUACACAGUUUGCUGGUGUUUGAUAACCCACUGCCUGCAUCCAGGGAUUUCUCCUCAGACCUAAGGAGCAGCAGAGACAAGUGAGCUGCUUGUCUGCUUGUAAAUCCUUAUUUCCAGACCAAACUCACUGAUGACUUUUUCCCUGUCUGUUCUUGCUACCUGCCAGAGGAAUGGCGUGUGAUGGGGAGGUGGGAUGGACAGGCUUUUUACAGCAGGAACUUGCAGAGGAGUCCUCCUUCUAUCCCUGCCUCCAUCCAUGUCUACCAAAGCAGGGGGCACAAGUCUCUCUCCGUGGGAAUCCAAGGUGACAGGAAGUAAAUAAGCAUGGGGACCAAUGUUCUGUCAGAUUUUGACCCAAACUACAGGGAAAGCUUGAGGAUCCCUCAUUUUAACUCAUUGACUGUUAAACAUUUAUUCAGAUACCAGGAACCUGCAUCUGGAUUUAGAUGCUUGUAGACUAGUAGGCAUAUCAAAUAAUGAAAAUUAAGGAUCAGAUUGCCUAUCUAAACAGAGAAACUUUGCUUUCAUGUCCCAUUGCAGUUGUCAUCCAGGACCUGCUGGAGCCAGGGGAAGCUCCCAUUUGCCAUGCUGGUGCUGGCUGGGGUCCUGCUCUAAGCACCUCCUGUCAUCUCCCGCCUCACUGGUGUGUUCUUCAACAUCCUUCCACCCAACAGUGGCAACUCAAUGAAGCACUGCUACAAUUUAAAUAGUUAUUUGCAUUUCAUUAACAAUGACAACAUUUAUUUUAAUACAGUUAAAUCAGAGUAGCAUUUAAUUUAAUUUUAACAAGAUAGUUAUUAAGCUAACCAAAUAUCAAUUGAUUGCUGAAGAAACCACAUUGUGAAACAAAUAAGUUGAGAAAUAAAUCUUGUUGCCAGGUCAUUAAUGUAAAAUCACAUAAAUAAUUAGGUUCUCUCUAAUGAAGAACUCCAACUGUUCCCUGACAUUCUCUGGGAGGGCUGCUGCCUUCUCUCCCCUGCUGUUAGGGGAGAGGGGCCUGAUCCAAGUGCUCAGAGAGCUGUACACACUGACCCAGGUUGGGCAGCAGGGUUUAAAGGGGAGCUCACCCUCCCCCUGUGCUGCCUAGUUGGGACAGCCUUGCCUUGAACCCCCUCCAGGUGCUCAGAGACCUGAAGCACCUCAUUCAGGCUUGGUGGGAAUCCAAAAGUCAGGGAGCAAGGAUACACCACCAUGAGCUCUUUCUGUCAACACCACUGGGUUGUAGGGUGUGAGGGUCAUUCCCCUAACAAGUGCUACAUCUUAACACUGUCCUUCUCAGCACCAACCGUUUACCACUUUUCCCUGCAAAUUAGCAUCUGGAAUACCAAAACCGGUCUGUUACAGCAGACACAAACAUUUCCUUUUCUAGCAUUGCUAAGGACUUGCGAUUUUCAUCCAUCUGUAUGUGUGGAUAUCACUUUCAAGGGGGUUAUUUGUUUGCUUAUUUAAACACAGAUCGCUUAGGGAGAUCUUUUUCUGACCAUCUGCUCUGUCCAGCUGCACAGAACAGACCAAAAACCCUCACUCAGGCAACUAUGAAUCAAGUCUGCAAGCUCUUCUUAAAGCAUAUCAUAGUACAUGCAGGCUUGAUUUAAAGCCUUCGAGUGAAGGAAAAUCCACUGAAUCCCUACAUAAGUUGCUCCAAUGGUUAACUAAGCCCAGUGUGAAAAAUAUACACCUUUAUUGAGCCCGAAUUUGUCUAGCUGUAAUGUUUUUUCACUGUCUCUUCUCAUGCCUUCUUCAGCAAUCUUUCUCCUGGAGGCUAAAGCAGAGCCUGCCAUUGGAGAGGGCAGGGUCUAUUCUCUCUACCAGCAUAAUUUUUGGAGGGACACCAGAGCGAUUUCAAGUUAAAAGGGUCAGAAAGGCAGAUUACAAAAAUGAAAAUGAGACCUCCAGUAGAAAUUUCCUUUUUUUAAAAAUAACAAUAACCUCACAUACCACUCACCCUUAAAAAAAGUACCAGAAAAUAAGACUACACAGAACCCAUGCCCUCAGAUAACCCACAUAAAGUGCACUUCCCCCAGAAUUUCCCAUACAGGCACACAAGUGCCCUUUCAACUGGAGGAGAGGGAAUUGUGCUCUGCUUGGUUUGGUUUAUGGAUGGCCAACGGGCUGUGUGUAUUAAGAUCCAGUGGGUGCCCAGCGAGACGCCGCUGUCUCUGCCAGAGCUGUUGAAGCCCCCUGAGAGCUCCUCUGCCAGAGUCACACUGGGAAGUUGGCACCAAAGGACUGCCACCUCCCGUGGACGGGCACUGGGGAUGAGGGGUGGGAAGGGACGUGGGGAAGUUUGGCCCCAUGUACACACGUCCCCUUGCUUCCUCCAACCCCCAGGGGAGCUCUUCCGUGUGAACUGCAAUUCAAAAUAAACCUGGAUGGAUCAGUCAUGCCCAAUAGAUAACCCGGGGCCUGCAGGACUGAGCUCUUGCAGUAACUGUGGCUCAGUUCACAUGGAGGCAAGAGGGCUCACACAGCUGCAGGCACAUUUCUGCUGAGGUGAGACAGCCUGUCCAGGGGAUCAGGCACUGGUACAGGCCAAUCCUGCACAAUUCUGCUGGACCGUGCUGAGGCAAGGAAGCCACCGGAGUCUAUGACAGCAGUGUCCUACCUCCACAAGACCCUGCCACGUGGUGUCCAGCACCAAAUCCAACCCUCUCCACUGCCUGUUUCCACGCUGCCUGCUCACACACAGGCAGCAGGCCUCGAGCAGAGGCUGAAGCACAGCACAUACGGCCCUAAUCACAAUAAAAGUGGUGACCUGGAUUUGUCAGUGUUAUGUUACACAGAUCAGAAGCUGUGAUUUUUAAGAAGGAAGCAGGUGUUUUGGAAUACGAUCUAUUUUUCCAGCAGGCUAUGAUAAGUAGUUUUCAGCUAAUUAUUUUGUGCCAAACCAUAAGGAAAUCAUCUCCAAAGUGGACUUCUCAGCUUGGAAGAUGCUCAAGAUUUUACACCAAAUUUUAGACUCGACAGUGAACAUAGAGCAGAAUGGGUGUUGGCAGCAAGGGAUUCAUCCUGCCUCAGCUGAAUCCCUGAACACAAGGCCAAACAGUUUGUAGCCAUUGUAAGGUAAAGCAGACUUUUUCUUGCAUCUUUUCAUUGCUGUUUUCCAAAUAAAGCAACUUAAACAGAUCUGGGAAGAAAACUAAGCAACUUACAGAAAAAAAUAGCUGCUGAGCAAAAACCAGGAAUAUGUGAGGGGCCUUGUGCUACAGAACAUGGAGACUGAUUGAAAUAGCCAAGGGAUGCACAUGUGCACAGAGGCUAUUGCUGGCUGGGGAGAAAAGGUUGUCAGCCACAGAGCCAAAAAACACACAGCAAUCCCUUCACAGUCAGAAGAUGCUUCUUCUGUGAGGCCACAGAUGCUGAUCACUCUCAAAGCGACCAGCAUGCAAAAAGUUAAAGUAGUUACACUGAAAGGGCAGAGAGUCUGCAGCGCAAAUACUGCACAUCCAUCACUCACAAAAGAGUAAAUUAUUAACUCCUAAUUAGCUGCCACUCCCAUCCCACUUUGGGCUUGGAAAGGACAGAGCGACCACACGUGGAGCUUUAACAAUGCAGUCUCCUCCCCACAUGACUAAGCAGGACCGUACCAACACCACCCAUCCACCAGCUCUUUUGGUCGUGGCAGAGGAAAACUCACUUCCUCUGUUGCCGUGUGAUAAACCCCCAAAGGAAACAUUUUCUUCCUGUAAGUGACAGUGUUUUGAGAAAACACCCACGAAUCCCUCCCCAGGCCUCUGUGACAAGCUCCUGCCAAUGCCUGCCAGCACAGGAGCACCUGUGAGGGCUCACGCCACCCCUCGUGCUUGUGGUUAUGUGGUGACAGCCAUGAAGAGCCACCAUCAGCACACAAGAACCGUUUUCUUUCUUGCAAGGAAACAACAAAAAAGAAGCUUGAGUUGAUGGUAAUAGGACUCUUGGUGUAAUCCCCUCUCAUCUCAUCUGCUCCACCUAACUUCCCUGUGCUCCUCUGCCAUCUGAGCAGUGCUAUCACCUAUUUAUGACCCAGGAGCACUGUGCCAGGCAGGGUCUCAUGGAAAGCAGGAGGGUCUAUCCGCUCCCUCCAUCUCUGAUGCAGGCCCGUCUCAUCUUCCAGCCCCGGGAUGUGUAGCAGCCAUCUCCAAGGGGACAGGCAAUGUCCUGAUCCAGGCACAGACCCUUGGCCUGGGCAGGCAACACACUCUGCCCUGGUGCACACUGGGAGCCAGGUCCAGGUUUUUAGGAGCAGUCAUUGCUCACUAAAGUUGCAUUAAAUGCUGCCAAUAACCACAUUACCAUCUAAUAAUUGAUGAUUAAUGCUAUAAGUUGAGGGCACCACAUCACAACUUAGAAAUUAUCUUCUUUCCUGUAAAGCUCUUUGCCUUUACAGGACUUGCUAAAACUUGCUUGGUACAGCAUUUCAGUUUCCAGGUACAAACAAUUUGGAAAAGAAAGGGGGAAAGUAAAGCAAAGCACAGCAAACAUACAACAACAUUGUUGUGAGCUCAGAUGAUGUUAAAUGAAUUAAUUCGAUUAAUUCUUAAACUUAGCUGGCAAGCUUUAAUGGUUCACAUUGAAAGCAUGAAUAACUAUUUUGUUCUGUGAAUGACUAUAGUUUAGUGACUCUUGAUGUCAGUGUAUUUUGCCCAGGGUUAAACUUGCUAUAUGAAUUAUUCACUGCUGGGUGAAUGAAAUGAACGGGGUUGUGCUCAUAGACAGGAUGCCAACUGUGGUUAUUUGACGUGAUGGGGCACACCCGAUGCUGACAAAGGACAAUAGUUAAUUUACAAUGUGGUACUGGGGCUCAGUCUUUCUCCUUAAGAUCUUUAUAGAAAGCAUGGCGCUUUUUGUUAUGUACUCCACAUUAAGAUGGAUUCCGUGUGCCAAAAAACACUGAAGCAUAGCUCACUUUUAAAAAUGUUCAGUAGUUUAAAGACAAAAAAAAAAAAUCACCUACCUUCCUGUCUCGUUUGGCUGAAACAUUGCUCCAAAGAAAAUGUGUUUAAGAGCAACUUAAAAACAAAUGAAGGAACACAUCUAUCUAUCACUUCAGCAUCUUGUCAUAGAUGCAGUAGUUGAUAGCUGCUAGGACCUCUCCGUGAUGGGAAAGGAUCUGCCAGCCUCUCACAGAAUGAGGUCUCAGACUGGGAACAAUCGAGCUUUUACCUAAGCUUUUACUUCCAAAGCCGAGAGAGAGAAGCGACUGAGCAGUUUCUGCGCUGUACUAUUUACAGUGAGCAAUUGGAGCAGGACAUUUUCCCAGCCUUCUUAAGAACCUGUUGCUUUAAUACAAGACAUUUGUAAUCUGGAAAGACAGGAUGCAAUUCAGCUUGAUCUGAUAAAUGGGCUGCAAAAGUUUACUUAUGCAUACUAAUGAUACAUUCAUCUUCACUUUACACUUCUCAGCUGUAUGCUUAUUGCAAACAUCUGUGUUGCUGAAAUGACUGGCAUUACAACUCAUUUAUAUGGUUUAAAACUAGUGAUAGACGAAAGCUGGGAGGAAGGGGAGGGGUGAGAGGUGCUUUUUCCUCCCAAAUUUCAAAAAUACUUAGUUUUGUCUUCGAGCAUGUUUCUGUGAAUGGGCUGAAUUGACGCCCUGGUGUGUACGGAAAUAACUUCAUGGAUAACUUCCAAACCACCAACAUGGCACAAACUUUGUGUGCAUCAGUACUGCACUGAUAAUACACUUAGUACUUAGAAAAAAGACCAAAAGUAGGAUGGCUAAAAGGCAGCUUGGAUUUUCCCUCCACAUCACACACUUUCCACCACCCAGUCACAGGAGAGGCCACUACUCCAUAGACCAGCAGCUCCCUGGCCAUGCUUAGAGCACCAGUAAAGCAGCUCAAUUCCUAAUGCCAUUCCCAAUUCAAGUAUUUUCUUACCUUGUGCAAAAAUGGUACACUUUCUUUCAAAUGACAGUACACUGCAGACUGUGCCUACCUCUGAAAUGAGCCUGCCUGGAUUUGUCUUGUUUUCUUCACCCCCCCUAAGGCUAGAUGAUUUGGCAUAAAUCCUGCCUGAAACACGCUUGCAUGGUUAAAAGUGGAAUGGGAUAUUUCUCCUUGGCUUCCAGAUCUGUCAGAUAUUGCAUGUAUUUGCUUUUUGACCAGAUGGCACUUCUGCUUUGUAGCUGCACAUGAAGUAUUAAAUUUCUGCGCUUACGUUUGGCAGGUGUUUGGCAUCCCCGUGACAUCCCUGGGGAUCCUGGAUACAGGGAAGAAGGAAAAACAGCUGACAAAGAAUGAAGAGUAAAUCAACAAAAACAAUUGCAAAGUGAAAAAGGCCAGCUCAUUUCCCUGAUUAAUUCUGGUCUCUGCAGUCACCAAAAAAGGGCUGGACAGUGCAGCAAAGCAGGAUGUGCUCAGAGGAACAUCUUAAUGAAAUUCUGUCUCACUGCCAUCUUCUCACAGGGAUGCUCUGCACACAUGGCCCACUUGUCAAACAGUUGGACAAGGGCCGUGUGUCGUGGCAUUUAUGGAACGGCACAGCCUGAGGAUGCAUGGGGAGAACCAACUCCUUCUUAGCCCUUUCAAAAAGAAGAGCCUGUGUCACCAUGGAACCUACAACAGAGAAGCUAUUAACCUGAGGUAUGCUUUCCAACCCCUGCUAUGUUAUGUUCGGGGCUGACUGCUGCAGACUGAAGAAUACUUCCUAAUUUUUUUCUCUUUCUGUAAAGUCGGAAUGUUUAUUUUGCCGAGACAUCUAUCCAAUUUCAGGUAAUUUCAUGUCUGGAAAGUCUACAUAAGUAGCCGUGUGCUGGGGUUUGGAAGUUGUUAACUCACUUGUCUACCAUUGGUUUCUGUGUUGCCAUAGUUAUUAUAUUGUCUCCUUGCAUUGGCUAGCAAAUGGCCAAUCCCCUCUUUGGCCCAGCAGCCCUUAUAAGCUGCGGGAAAUUUGAAUAAAGUCUUCUUUGCUGCUGGA